rnacentral:rRNA from 1 species
AUUGAACGCUGGCGGCAGGCCUAACACAUGCAAGUCGAGCGGAUGACGGGAGCUUGCUCCUUGAUUCAGCGGCGGACGGGUGAGUAAUGCCUAGGAAUCUGCCUGGUAGUGGGGGACAACGUUUCGAAAGGAACGCUAAUACCGCAUACGUCCUACGGGAGAAAGCAGGGGACCUUCGGGCCUCGCGCUAUCAGAUGAGCCUAGGUCGGAUUAGCUAGUUGGUGAGGUAAUGGCUCGCCAAGGCGACGAUCCGUAACUGGUCUGAGAGGAUGAUCAGUCACACUGGAACUGAGACACGGUCCAUACUCCUACGGGAGGCAGCAGUGGGGAAUAUUGGACAAUGGGCGAAAGCCUGAUCCAGCCAUGCCGCGUGUGUGAAGAAGGUCUUCGGAUUGUAAAGCACUUUAAGUUGGGAGGAAGGGCAGUAAGUUAAUACCUUGCUGUUUUGACGUUACCGACAGAAUAAGCACCGGCUAACUCUGUGCCAGCCGCCGCGGUAAGAC